UGGGGAAUAUUGGACAAUGGGCGAAAGCCUGAUCCAGCCAUGCCGCGUGUGUGAAGAAGGUCUUCGGAUUGUAAAGCACUUUAAGUUGGGAGGAAGGGCAGUAAGCGAAUACCUUGCUGUUUUGACGUUACCGACAGAAUAAGCACCGGCUAACUCUGUGCCAGCAGCCGCGGUAAUACAGAGGGUGCAAGCGUUAAUCGGAUUUACUGGGCGUAAAGCGCGCGUAGGUGGUUCGUUAAGUUGAAUGUGAAAGCCCCGGGCUCAACCUGGGAACUGCAUCCAAAACUGGCGAGCUAGAGUAGGGCAGAGGGUGGUGGAAUUUCCUGUGUAGCGGUGAAAUGCGUAGAUAUAGGAAGGAACACCAGUGGCGAAGGCGACCACCUGGGCUCAUACUGACACUGAGGUGCGAAAGCGUGGGGAGCAAACAGG
rnacentral:rRNA from 1 species